UCCGAAGGGGGCUAGCGUUGCUCGGAAUCACUGGGCGUAAAGGGUGCGUAGGCGGGUCUUUAAGUCCGGGGUGAAAUCCUGGAGCUCAACUCCAGAACUGCCUUUGAUACUGAAGAUCUUGAGUUCGGGAGAGGUGAGUGAAACUGCGAGUGUAGAGGUGAAAUUCGUAGAUAUUCGCAAGAACACCAGUGGCGAAGGCGGCUCACUGGCCCGAUACUGACGCUGAGGCACGAAAGCGUGGGGAGCAAACAGG
rnacentral:rRNA from 1 species